rnacentral:ncRNA from 1 species
AGGCCGCGUUGUGCAGCAUUGCCCACACAUAGAUAUAGUGUUCUCGCGUAUAUACAAGAAAAGAAAAGUUACCACAGGGACAACUGGCUUGCGGCGACCAAGCGAUCAUAGCAACGUCGUUUUUUGAUCCCUCGAUAUCGGCUCUCCCUAGCGAUGUGACGUAGAAUUCACCAAGCGUUGGAUUGUUCAUCCACUAAUAGGGAACGUGAGCUGGGUUUAGAUCGUCGUGGGACAGGUUAGUU